rnacentral:rRNA from 1 species
UCAGGAUGAACGCUGGCGGCGUGCAUAACACAUUCAAGUCGAACGGACAGUAGCAAUACUGUUAGUGGCGGACGGGUGAGUAAUACAUGAGCAACCUGCCUUAAAGAGGGGAUAACACAGGGAAACUUGUGCUAAUACCGCGUAAUUCGAACGGAGGGCAUCCUCUGAUCGGAAAAGGAGAAAUCCGCUUUAAGAUGGGCUCAUGUCUGAUUAGAUAGUUGGUAGGGUAACGGCCUACCAAGUCUGCGAUCAGUAGCCGGACUGAGAGGUUGAACGGCCACAUUGGAACUGAGAAACGGUCCAGACUCCUACGGGAGGCAGCAGUGGGGAAUAUUGGGCAAUGGGCGAAAGCCUGACCCAGCGACGCCGCGUGAGGGAAGAAGGUCUUCGGAUUGUAACCUUUGUCAACAGGGACGAAACAAAUGACGGUACCUGUGAAGGAAGCCACGGCUAACUACGUGCCAGCAGCCGC